UGGGGAAUUUUCCGCAAUGGGCGAAAGCCUGACGGAGCAACGCCGCGUGGAUGAUGAAGUCUUUCGGGACGUAAAAUCCUUUCAGCAGGGACGAAGCGAGUGACGGUACCUGCAGAAGAAGCAUCGGCUAACUACGUGCCAGCAGCCGCGGUAAUACGUAGGAUGCGAGCGUUGUCCGGAAUUAUUGGGCGUAAAGCGAACGUAGGCGGCCAUCUAAGUUUGGUCUUAAAGACCGGGGCUCAACCCCGGGAAUGGACUGAAUACUGGGUGGCUGGAGCGUGUUAGAGGAAAGUGGAAUUCCAGGUGUAGCGGUGAAAUGCGUAGAUAUCUGGAGGAACACCGGUGGCGAAAGCGACUUUCUGGGACAUUGCUGACGCUGAGGUUCGAAAGCUCGGGGAGCAAACA
rnacentral:rRNA from 1 species